rnacentral:rRNA from 1 species
UGUCUUUUGAGUACCUUCGUUUCCUCGGCGGGUCCGCCCGCCGAUUGGACAACAUUUAAACCCUUUGUAGUUGCAAUCAGCGUCUGAAAAAACUUAAUAGUUACAACUUUCAACAACGGAUCUCUUGGUUCUGGCAUCGAUGAAGAACGCAGCGAAAUGCGAUAAGUAGUGUGAAUUGCAGAAUUCAGUGAAUCAUCGAAUCUUUGAACGCACAUUGCGCCCCUUGGUAUUCCAUGGGGCAUGCCUGUUCGAGCGUCAUUUGUACCUUCAAGCUCUGCUUGGUGUUGGGUGUUUGUCUCGCCUCUGCGUGUAGACUCGCCUUAAAACAAUUGGCAGCCGGCGUAUUGAUUUCGGAGCGCAGUACAUCUCGCGCUUUGCACUCAUAACGACGACGUCCAAAAGUACAUU